rnacentral:rRNA from 1 species
UACGUAGGGUGCGAGCGUUAAUCGGAAUUACUGGGCGUAAAGCGUGCGUAGGCGGUUCGUUAAGUGCGUCGUGAAAGCCCCGGGCUCAACCUGGGAAUGGCGAUGGAAACUGGCGGGCUGGAGUAUGGCAGAGGGGGGUGGAAUUCCGGGUGUAGCGGUGGAAUGCGUAGAGAUCCGGAAGAACACCGGUGGCGAAGGCGGCCGGCUGGGCAGUAGCUGACGCUGAGGCGCGACAGCGUGGGGAGCAAACAGG